AUGCCAAUGCAUUGGAAGUCUUAUGUUUGUGGAAGGAGAAAGCAAGGAGAUCUCUUGGAGAAACUAUGGGGAUGGGACAGACUGCUAUCCAUGGGGGAUUCCGCCUUGUCGUGGUCCGACUACAGCGCCUACCUCGAGGAGUAUCACCGUCGGAAUGUCGAUGCUGUUAGCAGCAUAGCUGCUCUGGCUCAGACCUGUCUCAUCAGUGAGGAGCAGCUUGUGUCCGAGUGGAAGACCCAGAUGAAAUCUCAAAAGGAUGUUAUCCUGCUGACGAGGAAAUCGACCCUUCUGAGUUGCCUGAUCCACGAGUGUGCACGUUCAGUCGUCCACGCAGCAGGUCGUGGCUUUUCCGAUCUGCACGGUUCGGCUUUGUUGGUACGUUACCUAAGAAGUAAGAACACACCAAACGUUUUUCUUGUAUCUGAUCAUUUGGUCAUGAAAUGUUGUUGUGUAAUCCUUUCUCUGCAUCCUAAUUAUCUAAUGUUACAAUUAGCUGAAAUGGAAAGGGGGAAAACUAGUUAA
rnacentral:rRNA from 1 species